rnacentral:misc_RNA from 1 species
GAUGAAGAACGCAGCAAAAUGCGAUAAGUAAUGUGAAUUGCAGAAUUCAGUGAAUCAUCGAAUCUUUGAACGCACAUUGCGCCCGCUGGUAUUCCGGCGGGCAUGCCUGUUCGAGCGUCAUUUCAACCCUCAAGCCCCCGGGUUUGGUGUUGGGGAUCGGCUCUGCCCUUCUGGGCGGUGCCGCCCCCGAAAUACAUUGGCGGUCUCGCUGCAGCCUCCAUUGCGUAGUAGCUAACACCUCGCAACUGGAACGCGGCGCGGCCAUGCCGUAAAACCCCCCGACCACGGAGCCCCGGCUCCUGAACGUUGACCUCGGAUCAGGUAGGAAUACCCGCUGAACUUAAGCAUAUCAAUAAGCGGAGGA